rnacentral:rRNA from 1 species
UACGAAGGGGGCUAGCGUUGCUCGGAAUUACUGGGCGUAAAGCGCACGUAGGCGGCUCUUUAAGUCGGGGGUGAAAUCCUGGAGCUCAACUCCAGAACUGCCUUCGAUACUGUAGAGCUUGAGUUCGGGAGAGGUGAGUGGAACUGCGAGUGUAGAGGUGAAAUUCGUAGAUAUUCGCAAGAACACCAGUGGCGAAGGCGGCUCACUGGCCCGAUACUGACGCUGAGGUGCGAAAGCAUGGGGAGCGAACAGG